GGGCCUGUAGCUCAGUCGGCAGAGCAUCGGACUUUUAAUCCGCGGGUCGCGGGUUCGAUCCCCGCCGGGCCCA
rnacentral:tRNA from 1 species